GUAGGUGGCAAGCGUUGUCCGGAAUUAUUGGGCGUAAAGCGCGCGCAGGCGGUUUUUUAAGUCUGAUGUGAAAGCCCACGGCUCAACCGUGGAGGGUCAUUGGAAACUGGAGAACUUGAGUACAGAAGAGGAAAGCGGAAUUCCACGUGUAGCGGUGAAAUGCGUAGAGAUGUGGAGGAACACCAGUGGCGAAGGCGGCUUUCUGGUCUGUAACUGACGCUGAGGCGCGAAAGCGUGGGGAGCGAACAGGGAUUAGAUACCCUGGUAGUCCACGCCGUAAACGAUGAGUGCUAAGUGUUAGGGGGUUUCCCGCCCCUUAGUGCUGCAGCUAACGCAUUAAGCACUCCGCCUGGGGAGUACGGCCGCUAGGCUG
rnacentral:rRNA from 1 species